rnacentral:rRNA from 1 species
GUUGAACGCUGGCGGCAGGCUUAACACAUGCAAGACGAGCGGGGUGAUGGUGCUUGCACUAUCACUUAGCGGCGGACGGGUGAGUAAUGCUUAGGAAUCUGCCUAUUAGUGGGGGACAACAUCUCGAAAGGGAUGCUAAUACCGCAUACGUCCUACGGGAGAAAGCAGGGGAUCACUUGUGACCUUGCGCUAAUAGAUGAGCCUAAGUCGGAUUAGCUAGUUGGUGGGGUAAAGGCCUACCAAGGCGACGAUCUGUAGCGGGUCUGAGAGGAUGAUCCGCCACACUGGGACUGAGACACGGCCCAGACUCCUACGGGAGGAAGCAGUGGGGAAUAUUGGACAAUGGGGGGAACCCUGAUCCAGCCAUGCCGCGUGUGUGAAGAAGGCCUUAUGGUUGUAAAGCACUUUAAGCGAGGAGGAGGCUCUUUUGGUUAAUACCCAAGAUGAGUGGACGUUACUCGCAGAAUAAGCACCGGCUAACUCUGUGCCAGCAGCCGCAGUAA